rnacentral:tRNA from 1 species
CGGAAUGUGGCUCAGUUUGGUAGAGCGCUGCGUUCGGGACGCAGAGGUCGCAGGUUCAAAUCCUGUCAUUCCGA